GACGAACGCUGGCGGCGUGCCUAAUACAUGCAAGUAGAACGCACAGUUUAUACCGUAGCUUGCUACACCAUAGACUGUGAGUUGCGAACGGGUGAGUAACGCGUAGGUAACCUGCCUGGUAGCGGGGGAUAACUAUUGGAAACGAUAGCUAAUACCGCAUAAUAUUAAUUAUUGCAUGAUAAUUAAUUGAAAGGUGCAAUUGCACCACUACCAGAUGGACCUGCGUUGUAUUAGCUAGUAGGUGAGGUAACGGCUCACCUAGGCGACGAUACAUAGCCGACCUGAGAGGGUGAUCGGCCACACUGGGACUGAGACACGGCCCAGACUCCUACGGGAGGCAGCAGUAGGGAAUCUUCGGCAAUGGACGAAAGACUGACCGAGCAACGCCGCGUGAGUGAAGAAGGUUUUCGGAUCGUAAAGCCCUGUUGUAAGAGAAGAACGGGUGUGAGAGUGGAAAGUUCACACUGUGACGGUAUCUUACCAGAAAGGGACGGCUAACUACGUG
rnacentral:rRNA from 1 species